rnacentral:misc_RNA from 1 species
GAUGAAGAACGCAGCGGAAUGCGAUAAGUAGUGUGAAUUGCAGAAUUCAGUGAAUCAUCGAAUCUUUGAACGCACAUUGCGCCCCAUGGUAUUCCGUGGGGCAUGCCUGUUCGAGCGUCAUUUACCCCCUCAAGCUCCGCUUGGUGUUGGGCGUCUGUCCCGCUUCGCGCGCGGACUCGCCCCAAAGGUAUUGGCAGCGGUCGUGCCAGCUUCUCGCGCAGCACAUUGCGCUUCUCGAGGCACCGGUGGGCCCGCGUCCAUCAAGCUCACCCCCCCAGUUUGACCUCGGAUCAGGUAGGGAUACCCGCUGAACUUAAGCAUAUCAAUAAGCGGAGGA